GCGCAGCAGGCGCGAAUCGUUCACAAUGGGCGCAAGCCUGAUGGCGCGACGCCGCGUGUGGGAUGGAGGCCUUCGGGUUGUAAACCACUGUCACAGGGGAAGAAAGGCACGGAUGCUAACAUCGUCCGUGUUUGACGUUACCCUGAGAGGAAGCCACGGCUAACUCCGUGCCAGCAGCCGCGGUAAUACGGAGGUGGCAAGCGUUGUUUGGAAUUACUGGGCGUAAAGGGUGCGCAGGCGGUCUGUUGUGUUCGAUGUGAAAUCCCCCGGCUCACCCGGGGAACUGCAUCGAAAACUGACAGACUUGAGUGCAGGAGAGGAGAGCGGAAUUUCCGGUGUAGCGGUGAAAUGCGUAGAUAUCGGAAGG
rnacentral:rRNA from 1 species